GAUGAACGCUGGCGGCGUGCCUAAUACAUGCAAGUCGAGCGAAUGGAUUGAGAGCUUGCUCUUAUGAAGUUAGCGGCGGACGGGUGAGUAACACGUGGGUAACCUGCCCAUAAGACUGGGAUAACUCCGGGAAACCGGGGCUAAUACCGGAUAACAUUUUGAACCGCAUGGUUCGAAAUUGAAAGGCGGCUUCGGCUGUCACUUAUGGAUGGACCCGCGUCGCAUUAGCUAGUUGAUGAGGUAACGGCUCACCAAGGCAACGAUGCGUAGCCGACCGGAGAGGGUGAUCGGCCACACUGGGACUGAGACCCGGCCCAGACUCCUACGGGAGGCAGCAGUAGGGAACCUUCCGCAAUGGACGAAAGUCUGACGGAGCAACGCCGCGUGAGUGAUGAAGGCUUUCGGGUCGUAAAACUCUGUUGUUAGGGAAGAACAAGUGCUAGUUGAAUAAGCUGGCACCUUGACGGUACCUAACCAGAAAGCCACGGCUAACUACGUGCCAGCAGCCGCGGUAA
rnacentral:rRNA from 1 species